UAAAGAUGAACUAGGAAAAUCUCACCAUGAAAGGAUCAUAUCAGAUCCUGUAUGAAAAUCAUGUACAGAGCCCAUUCUAAAGGUAACAAAUUCGGUCCAAUGUUGUUUAAUUUGUGUCUCCAUUCUCUUCUCUUUACAGUGACAAUGAUGCAUAAGGCAGUUCCAAGAAGACAAUGGGCCCUCCCUGGCCUGCAGCCGGCUACUGAGGCGGUCAUAGUCAGCCUCCUUCUGGUCCAUCUGUUUCUUGUGCGUGUCCACCAGAAGCAGGAGAUCCGAGCUGUGCUUCUCCAGACGCCCGUGGGUCACCUCGGUGCGCUGAACCUGGGCCUGCAGCUCCGCCACCUCCUCCUGGAGCUGGACAUGGAGGAAAGAGAUGCUCCAGUAGUUGAAGGCGAGGAUUACCAUCACCAUGAGGAGCAGCACCAUGAGGCCAAGCUGGCUGCGCCCUGGGUCCCCGCCUACGACACCUGCGAACCUGUGAGCAG
rnacentral:lncRNA from 1 species